rnacentral:rRNA from 1 species
UUGAACGCUGGCGGCAGGCCUAACGCAUGCAAGUCGAGCGGUUGAGAGUAGCUUGCUACUUGAUGCAGCGGCGGACGGGUGAGUAACGCGUGGGAAUCUGCCCAGUAGUGGGGGACAACAGCCGGAAACGGCUGCUAAUACCGCAUACGCUCUACGGGGAAAGGGGGGGAUCUUCGGACCUCUCGCUAUUGGAUGAGCCCGCGUCGGAUUAGCUAGUUGGUAGGGUAAAGGCCUACCAAGGCUACGAUCCGUAACUGGUCUGAGAGGAUGAUCAGUCACACUGGAACUGAGACACGGUCCAGACUCCUACGGGAGGCAGCAGUGGGGAAUAUUGGACAAUGGGGGAAACCCUGAUCCAGCCAUGCCGCGUGUGUGAAGAAGGCCUUAGGGUUGUAAAGCACUUUCAGUGGGGAGAAAGGUUUGUCACCUAAUACGUGAUGAAAUUGAUGUUACCCACAGAAGAAGCACCGGCUAACUCCGUGCCAGCCGCCGCCGUAACAC